GACGAACGCUGGCGGCGUGCCUAAUACAUGCAAGUAGAACGCUAAAGGAGGAGCUUGCUUCUCUGGAUGAGUUGCGAACGGGUGAGUAACGCGUAGGUAACCUGCCUGGUAGCGGGGGAUAACUAUUGGAAACGAUAGCUAAUACCGCAUAAUAGUAGUUGUUGCAUGACAACUGUUUGAGAGGUGCAAUUGCAUCACUACCAGAUGGACCUGCGUUGUAUUAGCUAGUUGGUGGGGUAACGGCUCACCAAGGCGACGAUACAUAGCCGACCUGAGAGGGUGAUCGGCCACACUGGGACUGAGACACGGCCCAGACUCCUACGGGAGGCAGCAGUAGGGAAUCUUCGGCAAUGGACGGAAGUCUGACCGAGCAACGCCGCGUGAGUGAAGAAGGUUUUCGGAUCGUAAAGCUCUGUUGUAAGAGAAGAACGAGUGUGAGAGUGGAAAGUUCACACUGUGACG
rnacentral:rRNA from 1 species